rnacentral:rRNA from 1 species
AGCAGUAGCCGCGGUAAAACGGAGGGGGCUAGCGUUGUUCGGAAUUACUGGGCGUAAAGCGCACGUAGGCGGCUUGGUAAGUUAGAGGUGAAAGCCCGGAGCUCAACUCCGGAAUUGCCUUUAAGACUGCCGGGCUAGCAGGUGAGAGAGGUAAGUGGAAUUCCGAGUGUAGAGGUGAAAUUCGUAGAUAUUCGGAAGAACACCAGUGGCGAAGGCGGCUUACUGGCUCAUACUGGACGCUGAGGUGCGAAAGCGUGGGGAGCAAACGGGAUUAGAUACCCCUGUAGUCCCUGUCUCUUUACA